rnacentral:rRNA from 1 species
UGGGGAAUAUUGCACAAUGGGCGCAAGCCUGAUGCAGCCAUGCCGCGUGUAUGAAGAAGGCCUUCGGGUUGUAAAGUACUUUCAGCGAGGAGGAAGGCGGUAAGGUUAAUAACCUUAUCGAUUGACGUUACUCGCAGAAGAAGCACCGGCUAACUCCGUGCCAGCAGCCGCGGUAAUACGGAGGGUGCAAGAGUUAAUCGGAAUUACUGGGCGUAAAGCGCACGCAGGCGGUCUGUCAAGUCGGAUGUGAAAUCCCCGGGCUCAACCUGGGAACUGCAUUCGAAACUGGCAGGCUAGAGUCUUGUAGAGGGGGGUAGAAUUCCAGGUGUAGCGGUGAAAUGCGUAGAGAUCUGGAGGAAUACCGGUGGCGAAGGCGGCCCCCUGGACAAAGACUGACGCUCAGGUGCGAAAGCGUGGGGAGCAAACA